GCCCGGAUGGUGAAAUUGGUAGACACAAGGGACUUAAAAUCCCUCGGCUUUUAUCGGCCAUGCCGGUUCGAUUCCGGCUCCGGGCACCA
rnacentral:tRNA from 1 species